GUAGGGGGGCCAGCGUUGUCCGGAUUCAUUGGGGCGUAAAGAGCGUGUAGGCGGUUCAAUAGGUCCGAUGUGAAAACUCGAGGGCUCAACCUCGAGAGGUCGUCGGAAACCAUUGAGCUAGAGUCCGGAAGAGGAGAGUGGAAUUCCUGGUGUAGCGGUGAAAUGCGCAGAUAUCAGGAAGAACACCGAUGGCGAAGGCAGCUCUCUGGGACGGUACUGACGCUGAGACGCGAAAGCGUGGGGAGCGAACAGGAUUAGAUACCCUGGUAGUCCACGCCGUAAACGAUGGGCACUAGGUGUGGGUGGUGUCGACUCCAUCCGUGCCGCAGCUAACGCAUUAAGUGCCCCGCCUGGGGAGUACGGCCGCAAGGCUA
rnacentral:rRNA from 1 species